ACGAACGCUGGCGGCGUGCUUAACACAUGCAAGUCGAACGGAAAGGCCCUGCGUUUGUGGGGUGCUCGAGUGGCGAACGGGUGAGUAACACGUGAGUAACCUGCCCUUGACUUUGGGAUAACUUCAGGAAACUGGGGCUAAUACCGGAUAGGAGCUCCUGCUGCAUGGUUGGGGUUGGAAAGUUUCGGCGGCUGGGGUUGGACUCGCGGCUUAUCAGCUGGUUGGUGGGGUAGUGGCUUACGAAGGCUUUGACGGGUAGCCAGCCUGAGAGGGUGACCGGCCACAUUGGGACUGAGAUUCGCCCCAGACACCUACGGUAGGCACAAGUGGGGUAUAUUGCACAAUGGCAGGAAUCCUGAUGGAGCAACGCCGCUUGCGGGAUGACGGCCUUCGGGUUGUAAACCGCUUUCGCCUGUGACGAAGCGUGAGUGACGGUAAUGUGUAAAGAAGCACCGGCUAACUACGUG
rnacentral:rRNA from 1 species